CAGCAGCCGCGGGAAUACGAAGGGUGCAAGCGUUACUCGGAAUUACUGGGCGUAAAGCGUGCGUAGGUGGUGGUUUAAGUCCGUUGUGAAAGCCCUGGGCUCAACCUGGGAAUUGCAGUGGAUACUGGGUCACUAGAGUGUGGUAGAGGAUAGUGGAAUUUCCGGUGUAGCAGUGAAAUGCGUAGAGAUCGGAAGGAACAUCUGCGGCGAAGGCGACUAUCUGGGCCAACACUGACACUGAGGCACGAAAGCGUGGGGAGCAAACAGGAUUAGAUACCCCAGUAGUCCCUGUCUCUUAUAC
rnacentral:rRNA from 1 species